AGUGAACGCUGGCGGUAGGCCUAACGCAUGCAAGUCGAACGGCAGCACAGUAAGAGCUUGCUCUUACGGGUGGCGAGUGGCGGACGGGUGAGGAAUACAUCGGAAUCUACUUUUUCGUGGGGGAUAACGUAGGGAAACUUACGCUAAUACCGCAUACGACCUACGGGUGAAAGCAGGGGAUCUUCGGACCUUGCGCGAUUGAAUGAGCCGAUGUCGGAUUAGCUAGUUGGCGGGGUAAAGGCCCACCAAGGCGACGAUCCGUAGCUGGUCUGAGAGGAUGAUCAGCGACACUGGAACGGAGACACGGUCCAGACUACUACGGGAGGCAGCAGUGGGGAAUAUUGGACAAUGGGGGCAAGCCUGAUCCAGCCAUACCGCGUGGGUGAAGAAGGCCUUCGGGUUGUAAAGCCCUUUUGUUGGGAAAGAAAAGCAGCAGGUUAAUACCCCGCUGUUCUGACGGUACCCAAAGAAUAAGCACCGGCUAACUUCGUG
rnacentral:rRNA from 1 species